rnacentral:rRNA from 1 species
CCACUCUACAGACUGUGGGAUGGCUCUGCUAUUUCCUGCACCAUCUAACUAGUCCACCUACGCUGCCCUGCGCUAUUCGACACGAAGCCAUGGCGGUUCCCCUUCUCUAUAGGCCAACAGAGAAGGCCGCUCCAUCCAAGCGGUUGCGAGCCGGCUGCGGUGGUUCCGCAGAAGGGGAAUAGGGCAUCCCACCGGUGGGAUGCAGUUGAACUGAAGCGACAGUGCCAAGUUGGAUCGCGAUUUCGGCUGCGGAGCGGCGCUUGGCCGCAGCGACGCGCUCCACGAGCUUGAGAAGUGUAUUGUCUCUCCUCUCCCAUCCUCGUAUCCUUGAUUGAUCCUCGCCUCCCUGAUUGAUCUAGGCCCAUUGAUCUGGGUCAAUUUUUCAUUGACUAGGUAUGAAUAUGAUUGACCUCAUUUUCAAGCUUGGUCACUCGCUCACUGCACGCGCUCAUGAGCUCAAGCCCCGCCCCUUACCUCCCUCUAACUUGGCCACCUCCAUCCCCUGGUGGUAAUUGAAUCAAGAAAUUCAGUAUGAACUUAUAAAGUGUAGAGGUUCUACAGAUGCGGCAACAUCAAGGACUGCCGUGAGGAAGCACCUGGAGUGGAGUCACGACAACGUUGUGAUUCUCAUUAACCUAUGAGAACGAACAUAACCACAACCACGUACAGCCCCCGACCUAUCGAUGCUCGCCAUGAAUUCAGUAAAGCCCGACUGAAGUUACCAAUCCCAGAAGAAUAUAGAAGAACUCUAAAUUAUUAUGCCAU